rnacentral:rRNA from 1 species
AUUGAACGCUGGCGGAAUGCUUUACACAUGCAAGUCGAACGGUAGAGGGGGCAACCCCUUGAGAGUGGCGAACGGGUGAGUAAUAUAUCGGAACGUGCCCAGUAGUGGGGGAUAGCCCGGCGAAAGCCGGAUUAAUACCGCAUACGACCUAAGGGUGAAAGGGGGGGAUCGCAAGACCUCUCGCUAUUGGAGCGGCCGAUGUCAGAUUAGCUAGUUGGUGGGGUAAAAGCCCACCAAGGCGACGAUCUGUAGCUGGUCUGAGAGGACGACCAGCCACACUGGGACUGAGACACGGCCCAGACUCCUACGGGAGGCAGCAGUGGGGAAUUUUGGACAAUGGGCGCAAGCCUGAUCCAGCAAUGCCGCGUGCAGGAAGAAGGCCUUCGGGUUGUAAACCGCUUUUGGUCGGGAAGAAAAGGCAUCUCUUAAUACGGGGUGUUCUUGACGGUACCGGCAGAAUAAGCACCGGCUAACUACGUG